CUACGGGCUGCUGCAGUGGGGAAUAUUGCACAAUGGAGGAAACUCUGAUGCAGCAACGCCGCGUGGAGGAUGACACUUUUCGGAGCGUAAACUCCUUUUAUAUAGGAAGAAGAUGACGGUACUAUAUGAAUAAGCGCCGGCUAACUCCGUGCCAGCAGCCGCGGUAAUACGGAGGGCGCAAGCGUUACUCGGAAUCACUGGGCGUAAAGAGCGUGUAGGCGGAUUAAAAAGUCAGAAGUGAAAUCCUAUAGCUUAACUAUAGAACUGCUUCUGAAACUCUUAAUCUAGAAUAUGGGAGAGGUAGAUGGAAUUUCUGGUGUAGGGGUAAAAUCCGUAGAGAUCAGAAGGAAUACCGAUUGCGAAGGCGAUCUACUAGAACAUUAUUGACGCUGAGACGCGAAAGCGUGGGGAGCAAACAGGAUUAGAUACCCGUUAGUC
rnacentral:rRNA from 1 species